rnacentral:rRNA from 1 species
GCUAAACGCGAAGAACCUUACCAAGGCUUGACAUACACCAGAACACCCUAGAAAUAGGGGACUCUUUGGACACUGGUGAACAGGUGGUGCAUGGUUGUCGUCAGCUCGUGUCGUGAGAUGUUGGGUUAAGUCCCGCAACGAGCGCAACCCUCGUUCUAUGUUGCCAGCACGUAAUGGUGGGAACUCAUGGGAUACUGCCGGGGUCAACUCGGAGGAAGGUGGGGAUGACGUCAAAUCAUCAUGCCCCUUAUGUCUUGGGCUUCACGCAUGCUACAAUGGCCGGUACAAAGGGCUGCAAUACCGUGAGGUGGAGCGAAUCCCAAAAAGCCGGUCCCAGUUCGGAUUGAGGUCUGCAACUCGACCUCAUGAAGUCGGAGUCGCUAGUAAUCGCAGAUCAGCAACGCUGCGGUGAAUACGUUCCCGGGUCUUGUACACACCG